rnacentral:snRNA from 1 species
UGCAUGUGGUUCUCUGCAAAGCGUACAAGUCUUUCGCCUUUUACUAAAGACUUCCGUGCAGAGGAGGCAGCGCUUUGUCAGUUGCAUUUUUUGGCAGGCUCUGCCACUGGUAAAGCCC